ensembl:lncRNA
CGGCUGUUUCAAAGCAAGCAUCAUUAUCUCUUUCAUGCACUAUAUUCUUUUUCAUGUCAGUUAGUUGUGUCAGUUGUUGCCACAUGACCAGAUAUUUGUGUGUUUUAUCUACAGACUCUCUCUGACCUGCAGUAAUGGACGCUUCUCUGCUCUUGUCAAUUAGCCUCCAUUUUCCCCAGCAUGCUUUUAUAGUGCCUCUAAUGCAUCUUAAACUUCAGAAGUGGCUUCCACAUCACAAGAACAUCACUCCAGGCCGGAUUGGACACCUGCACAGGAUGCAUGCUGCUCACGGGUCGUGACUUUGACACCACUAAAGCAGAACAAUGCCAAUCAGGGUUUGUGUCCUGGACUUUCCUCCGCUGCUGGUGCAGAUGUGCUGUGACCCUGUUCCUGGCCAGCCAA